UUGAACGCUGGCGGCAGGCCUAACCCAUGCCAGUCGAGCGGUAGAGAGAAGCUUGCUUCUCUUGAGAGCGGCGGACGGGUGAGUAAUGCCUAGGAAUCUGCCUGGUAGUGGGGGAUAACGUUCGGAAACGGACGCUAAUACCGCAUACGUCCUACGGGAGAAAGCAGGGGACCUUCGGGCCUUGCGCUAUCAGAUGAGCCUAGGUCGGAUUAGCUAGUUGGUGGGGUAAUGGCUCACCAAGGCGACGAUCCGUAACUGGUCUGAGAGGAUGAUCAGUCACACUGGAACUGAGACACGGUCCAGACUCCUACGGGAGGCAGCAGUGGGGAAUAUUGGACAAUGGGCGAAAGCCUGAUCCAGCCAUGCCGCGUGUGUGAAGAAGGUCUUCGGAUUGUAAAGCACUUUAAGUUGGGAGGAAGGGCAGUAAAUUAAUACUUUGCUGUUUUGACGUUACCGACAGAAUAAGCACCGGCUAACUCUGUG
rnacentral:rRNA from 1 species